GCCGCCUCCAUUGUUAGAAAGCUCUCUCAGGCUGACGUCACCCUGUCCUGGACCUGGAGGAAGCCUGAUUCGCCGCCUCCAUUGUUAGAAAGCUCUCUCAGGCUGAUGUCACCCUGUCCUGGAGGGAGCGUGAUUCGCCGCCUCCAUUGUUAGAAAGCUCCCUCAGGCUGGCGUCACCCUGUCCUGGUCCUGGAGGAAGCCUGAUUCGCCGCCUCCAUUGGUAGAAAGCUCUCUCAGGCUGGCGUAACCCUGUCCUGGACCUGGAGGAAGCCUGAUUCGCCGCCUCCAUUGUUAGAAAGCUCUCUCAGGCUGAUGUCACCCUGUCCUGGUCCUGGAGGAAGCCUGAUUCGCCGCCUCCAUUGUUAGAAAGCUCUCUCAGGCUGGCGUCACCCUGUCCUGGUCCUGGAGGAAGCCUGAUUCGCCACCUCGGUUGUUGGAAAGCUCUCUCAGGCUGAUGUCACCCUGUCCUGGUCCUGGAGGAAGCCUGAUUCGCCGCCUCCAUUGUUAGAAAGCUCUCUCAGGCUGACGUCACCCUGUCCUGGUCCUGGAGGAAGCCUGAUUCGCCACCUCGGUUGUUGGAAAGCUCUCUCAGGCUGAUGUCACCCUGUCCUGGUCCUGGAGGAAGCCUGAUUCGCCGCCUCCAUUGUUAGAAAGCUCUCUCAGGCUGACGUCACCCUGUCCUGGACCUGGAGGAAGCCUGAUUCGCCACCUCGGUUGUUGGAAAGCUCUCUCAGGCUGAUGUCACCCUGUCCUGGUCCUGGAGGAAGCCUGAUUCGCCGCCUCCAUUGUUAGAAAGCUCUCUCAGGCUGACGUCACCCUGUCCUGGACCUGGAGGAAGCCUGAUUCGCCACCUCCACUGUUAGAAAGCUCUCUCAGGCUGACGUCACCCUGUCCUGGACCUGGAGGAAGCCUGAUUCGCCGCCUCCACUGUUAGAAAGCUCUCUCAGGCUGACGUCACCCUGUCCUGGACCUGGAGGAAGCCUGAUUCGCCGCCUCCAUUGUUAGAAAGCUCUCUCAGGCUGGCGUAACCCUGUCCUGGACCUGGAGGAAGCCUGAUUCGCCGCCUCCAUUGUUAGAAAGCUCUCUCAGGCUGACGUCACCCUGUCCUGGACCUGGAGGAAGCCUGAUUCGCCGCCUCCAUUGUUAGAAAGCUCUCUCAGGCUGAUGUCACCCUGUCCUGGAGGGAGCGUGAUUCGCCGCCUCCAUUGUUAGAAAGCUCCCUCAGGCUGGCGUCACCCUGUCCUGGUCCUGGAGGAAGCCUGAUUCGCCGCCUCCAUUGGUAGAAAGCUCUCUCAGGCUGGCGUAACCCUGUCCUGGACCUGGAGGAAGCCUGAUUCGCCGCCUCCAUUGUUAGAAAGCUCUCUCAGGCUGGCGUCACCCUGUCCUGGUCCUGGAGGAAGCCUGAUUCGCCGCCUCCAUUGUUAGAAAGCUCUCUCAGGCUGAUGUCACCCUGUCCUGGUCCUGGAGGAAGCCUGAUUCGCCGCCUCCAUUGUUAGAAAGCUCUCUCAGGCUGACGUCACCCUGUCCUGGUCCUGGAGGAAGCCUGAUUCGCCACCUCGGUUGUUGGAAAGCUCUCUCAGGCUGAUGUCACCCUGUCCUGGUCCUGGAGGAAGCCUGAUUCGCCGCCUCCAUUGUUAGAAAGCUCUCUCAGGCUGACGUCACCCUGUCCUGGACCUGGAGGAAGCCUGAUUCGCCACCUCGGUUGUUGGAAAGCUCUCUCAGGCUGAUGUCACCCUGUCCUGGUCCUGGAGGAAGCCUGAUUCGCCGCCUCCAUUGUUAGAAAGCUCUCUCAGGCUGACGUCACCCUGUCCUGGACCUGGAGGAAGCCUGAUUCGCCACCUCGGUUGUUGGAAAGCUCUCUAAGGCUGAUGUCACCCUGUCCUGGUCCUGGAGGAAGCCUGAUUCGCCGCCUCCAUUGUUAGAAAGCUCUCUCAGGCUGACGUCACCCUGUCCUGGUCCUGGAGGAAGCCUGAUUCGCCACCUCGGUUGUUGGAAAGCUCUCUCAGGCUGAUGUCACCCUGUCCUGGUCCUGGAGGAAGCCUGAUUCGCCGCCUCCAUUGUUAGAAAGCUCUCUCAGGCUGACGUCACCCUGUCCUGGACCUGGAGGAAGCCUGAUUCGCCACCUCGGUUGUUGGAAAGCUCUCUAAGGCUGAUGUCACCCUGUCCUGGUCCUGGAGGAAGCCUGAUUCGCCGCCUCCAUUGUUAGAAAGCUCUCUCAGGCUGACGUCACCCUGUCCUGGACCUGGAGGAAGCCUGAUUCGCCGCCUCCAUUGUUAGAAAGCUCUCUCAGGCUGAUGUCACCCUGUCCUGGAGGGAGCGUGAUUCGCCGCCUCCAUUGUUAGAAAGCUCCCUCAGGCUGGCGUCACCCUGUCCUGGUCCUGGAGGAAGCCUGAUUCGCCGCCUCCAUUGGUAGAAAGCUCUCUCAGGCUGGCGUAACCCUGUCCUGGACCUGGAGGAAGCCUGAUUCGCCGCCUCCAUUGUUAGAAAGCUCUCUCAGGCUGAUGUCACCCUGUCCUGGUCCUGGAGGAAGCCUGAUUCGCCGCCUCCAUUGUUAGAAAGCUCUCUCAGGCUGACGUCACCCUGUCCUGGUCCUGGAGGAAGCCUGAUUCGCCACCUCGGUUGUUGGAAAGCUCUCUCAGGCUGAUGUCACCCUGUCCUGGUCCUGGAGGAAGCCUGAUUCGCCGCCUCCAUUGGUAGAAAGCUCUCUCAGGCUGGCGUCACCCUGUCCUGGAGGAAGCCUGAUUCGCCGCCUCCAUUGUUAGAAAGCUCUCUCAGGCUGGCGUAACCCUGUCCUGGACCUGGAGGAAGCCUGAUUCGCCGCCUCCAUUGUUAGAAAGCUCUCUCAGGCUGACGUCACCCUGUCCUGGACCUGGAGGAAGCCUGAUUCGCCGCCUCCAUUGUUAGAAAGCUCUCUCAGGCUGACGUCACCCUGUCCUGGACCUGGAGGAAGCCUGAUUCGCCGCCUCCAUUGUUAGAAAGCUCUCUCAGGCUGGCGUAACCCUGUCCUGGACCUGGAGGAAGCCUGAUUCGCCGCCUCCAUUGUUAGAAAGCUCUCUCAGGCUGGCGUAACCCUGUCCUGGACCUGGAGGAAGCCUGAUUCGCCGCCUCCAUUGUUAGAAAGCUCUCUCAGGCUGACGUCACCCUGUCCUGGUCCUGGAGGAAGCCUGAUUCGCCGCCUCCACUGUUAGAAUUCUCUCUCAGGCUGAGGGUGUCUCUGGGCUCCAGGGAGCUUCUUUGCCUAUGGGAUUCUUGGAGGGGAUCUGCUCUGUUUGUGAAUUCCCACUGCCUCACGGCUGAAGUCUGACAAAUAGUACCACCAUCUUCCUGGAGUGACUGGGAGAGACACCUGGGAUCUUGCUGGGUCAAUAGUGACUGUGCAAGGCCAUCCAUGAUAAAAUGCGUUCCAACCUCAGAGACAUGAAAAUAAAAGUGAAAAAAAGAAAAGGCAUCUUAGAAUCUGUGAAAUGUUGUAAGUAAAAUAGGAACACGGUGGUUAUGUUUGGAUUAAGUACGGCUGUGCUCAAGACAAGCUCACCUGACUUCUGCCUCCCGCUUCUGCCUCCUUCGUGUGGUCUCCAGCCUGGAGCUGGAUGUUGGAGUGAACAUGAGUGUAAACACAGAAAGCGUCGACAUGUUUUCAACAAGGAAAUUCGUUUCUUUGCUCUGUGUGCUUGUGUGCCUGUCUAGGACCGUGUUGUAACUUCAGGAAAGAUUAGAAUCAGUGAACUCCUUCAGGGCUAGGACCAGGAAUUCUGUCUGUACUCUUUUUACCUUCUUGCCAUCUUUCCUCAAUUAUUAAUACAUUACUCUCGCACAAGGAGGCAAAGCUCAGAGGUGUUAGUGCUCUUUUUUUUAAAAAGCAACAAGUAUUAUAGAUCUUUAUUUUAGUAAAAGAAAAUUGAAUCUUUUGACAAGAGUUCCUAUACAUUCUCAUUUAGUCCAAAUUGUCAGCCCAGAAGCCCCAGUGAACACAACCUGAAUUUCAGGCUUUAUACCACACGAUACAAGAACCUGCAAAUAAAAGAAAAAUUCAGUGACUUUAGGAUUCUUCUUGCUUCUCUUUUGCAUCUGAGACUUCAAGAAUACAAUUCAAAAAUUUCUCAGCUUAAACAUUACAUUGAUUUAAAGUUUCAGAUAUUUCAAAACCCUUUCUCUGGAAUUGCCAUAUUUGGCCCAAAACCCAAGUCAAAACACCCUACAAGGGAAGAGCAGAGAGGACUUGUUACACCCAUUUUUCAGAUGAGAAGACUGAGGGACAGAAGAGCUGAGAAGGCACUACUGGUGCUCUGUCCUGAGUCCUGGAACUGUCCCAAGAAUACGGGCCUGAUGUUAGCAAGCACCUUUCCCACGACCUGGCACUACCUACCUUUCAUUGCUAUAUGGACCAGAGUCAGAGGAAGUGUGGGGCCCAGAGAGCGUGCGGGUGACUGCGCCUGGACCCUCUGUCAGUCAAGAUGUCCUUGGGUUUUCUCCUUGCUGCCCUGUUCCUUGUACAGCCACACCUAUCUCCAAACCAGCUGCAUCGACACCUUUGUUAUUAUGAGGAUUUGAUUCCACCUAGGAUGUGCAGCUUUUACUGUGAUCAAUGGCCUCUGAGAGUAUGGAGUGGAGGACAGAAGAAAAUGCAAAGCAACUGGACGUUCCAGAAUGAGAAGCUGUUCCAGAAUGAGGAGCUGUUCCAGAAUGGGGAGCUGUUCCAGACUGAUGAGCUGCACCUUGUACCUGCCUCACCCCUGAUCACAUAGCCUUGAUGCCAGAAACCUAGAGUGCUCUAUUUAGAAACGUUAGGCUGGCAGCAGGAACCCCUGAAGAAACUCAGGACGCUAGGUGCUUGAGCGCGCAGCUAACCCGCAGGAGAAACAUCUCCCUUCUGCUGACCUGAGGCUUGACUCCUCUCCCACAGGAGGGGAAAAGAGGCCUCCACCCACAGUCCACUGUUAUCCUAGGAGAAAUCCUGUGGCCUCCUGCCCAGGAAGUGACAGAGAGAGAGAAGCUGAAGCUGCUUUAACCUUCAAGAUGAACCUGUUUCUUCCACGAGGUUUUCUCUUGCCUGUACACGUAUCUUUAAGUCCACCAGACACAUCCACGCUCUGCUCGCACAGCGUUGCCAGGGCCAGUGCCUUCUCUCCCAUCCUGUGUUUGCAUUUGCCAUUUGGUGGGCCUGUCCUGCUGACCAGCAAGUCUCUGUACUGAAUUUGGUGACUUUGAUCUUAUGAUUCAUGUUUCCCAGCGAGGUACUGUGUGUCUUUGCUAUGAAUAAUGUGUUAUUCAAGGGCUAGUUGGAAGAUUGCAUAUAUAAAUUGAAAACAUUUUGUCUAAAAAGGGGUGUAUAGACAGAAAGAAAAUUUCAGCCAGAGAGAAUUCUUUUUUCUUCUUGAGACAGGGUCUUGCUCUGGAGUGCAGUGGUGCUAUCAUAGCUAACUGCAGCCUUGACCUCUCAGGCUCAAGCAAUCCUCCCGCCUCAGCCUCCCGAGUAGCUGAGAUUACAGGUGUGCACCACCAUGCCCAUAAAUUUUUUGUAAGGACAGGGUCUUGCUUAGUUGCCCAGGCUGAUCUCAAACUCCUGGGCUCAAGCAGUCCUCCCUCCUCAGCCUCCCAAAGUAGUGGAAUUACAGGCGAGAGCCACCGUACCUGGCCUUCAGAAAGAAAUUGUUUAAAAACCUCCUUAAGGCAAGUGCAGAACACAAAGGAAUUCAAAGAGCACCAACAUGGGAUUAGCGAGGGCCGGGAGCUAGGCCUGUGCCAUGUAUCACUGCAUGUUGUGCUGUGUGAGAUGACAAAUCUGUCUUCCAUUACUUUGUUGAGCAGUUACCCCUGAGAAGAAUUAUUUCCUUUGAAAUAAAAAACAUACCCUGUACUGGCUGCUGCAUUAUAGGGCAUAUCUUGCCUGGAAAAUGGAAGUCAGGCAACAUGGCUAUUCUGUGGAAAUGUCUGAGCACAAAGAAGAGGCAGAAGGGAAUGUGGAGGCCUGAGAUGUCUUGGAAAUGAGCAGGAGGAUGACUGCAAUGGCCCUUCAGUUAGGUUCAGGCUUCUGCGGGAAGGCGGCACCCAGGAGCCCAGAGCAGGGAGACACACCGGUGUGGAAGUCCAGGUGUGCUGUGAUGGAGAGGCCUCCAUGUGGCCUUCCAUAUCCUGACAGCCCAGAUGGGGCGAAGGCAGACUUCCACAGGAGUAGAUGCCCAGAGGCUGCAGUGAAGAACCCUGCAGGGGACAUGGCCUCUGUCCCCGGCUGCAGGGAGGAGCCCAGGCUCUGGAGUGCAAGACGGUGCCAAAGGCAGCAACCUGCAGCGCAGGGCUCCUCUCCCAGGGAGCCUCGUUUGCAAGAUGCACGAGUAGUUCACAGGGCUGCUCUGACUGUGGCCACAAGGCUCUGCCCGGGCUUGGGAGGUCUUCCAUGAAGGCGAGGACCAGGGCUUCUUUCUGUGCUCACAUAACCCUUCCAGUCCUCAGAAAACUCAGCUGGGAGAGCGUUAGCCCUGGGGUUUUCUCUGGUCCUAGAAGCUCUUCUACAGGACUCCUCGAAACGCCCAGAGACCCUAUAGACCCUGCAGCCUCUGCCCGGCAUAUCCAUUGCAUUCAGUUAGGCACAACCCAACUCGGCUCCAGUCAGCACCAUUUCUUGGGAUGUGCAGCAUUUCUGCGCCUCUUGUGAAGACAAAGAUAAAUUAGACACAGACGGCAUUCGAGACACUUGCCAUGUUGAAGAGGAGAGGAGCACAGAAACAGCUAGCAAUGGUGCCAGACAGAAAGUUGUGUGCCUGACAAGGAUGAGAAAUUGGGGGGAUUUGAAGAGGAGACAUGAUUAAUUCUGACCAGAGUAACAGAGAAGGCUUCAUGGAUGACACAGAACUUCAGAGGGAGGAUUAAAGGACAAGUAAAGCAGGAUUUUUUAUUUUAGCAAAAGAAACAGUUGUGAAUUGGAGGCAGUGGCUGAGCCGUUCCCAUCGAUGUCUGGAAUUCCGAGAAGCUCCACUGGGGCUGCUAGCUGACGGCUGGCCCACCUGUUAUCAGGGGCAUUUGGACGGCUCAUGUGCCACGCCAGGGACGUAGCGUGCGGCACCUGCCCCCUCUGUGUUUUCCUCUCACAUGGGCCAGGGGCUCUGUCCCAUUAAAUAACCAGAAGAUUAAAUGCAGACUUUACAAAGUUCCUUGUUCGGAUCACUCUAUGCCCACAUCCUAGAAACAUCUAUGGAACUGAAUUUUCCCACUGAAGGAAAUGGCACGAUUAAAAACUUUUUAGAUUAUAUGAAUAAAAUGAUAGGCAAGCAAUCAUCUAGAAAAGAAGGACACUGUGGGGAAACCUCCCCAUUCUAUUUUCCUCUGUAAAACAAACUGAACUCCGGUGGUUUUCAGCAUUAUAACAUUCCUGUCCCACUGGAAAUGCAGAAGACCGGGUUAAAAAAACCCUAAGUGGACCAAGCCCAUUAUAACAUUCCUGUCCCACUGGAAAUGCAGAAGACCGGGUUAAAAAAUCCUAAGCGGACCAAGCCCAUGAUAACAUUCCUGUCCCACUGGAAAUGCAGAAGACCGGGUUAAAAAAUCGUAAGUGGACCAAGCAGAACAAACACUGCAACCCCUUUCUAAAAGCAGCCUUCAUUUAGACACCAAAAGACGGGAGAUACUAUUUCUUUAUUAUUUAUUUAUUUAUUUAUUUAUUUAUUUAUUUAUUUAUUUAUUUAUUUGAGACGGAGUCUUGCUCUAUCACCCAGGCUGGAGAACAGGGGCAUGAUCUCGGCUCACUGCAUUGCAGCCUCUGCCUCCCAGGUUCAAGUGAUUUUCCUGCCUCAGCCUCACGGGUAGCUGGGAUGACAGGCACACUCCACCAUGUCCUGCUGACUUUUAUAUUUUUAGUAGAGACAGGGUUUCACUAUGUUGGCCAGGCUGGUCUUGAACUCCUGACCUCAGGUAAUCUGCCCACCUCAGCUUCCCAAAGUGCUAGGAUUACAGGGGUGAGCCAUGGCGCCCAGCUGGGAGAUACUAUUUCUAAAGCUUACACUUUUCUGAUUCCUCUCUCUAUGUGUAGAUCUAGAUGUAGAAAUAGAUUGGUUGAGAGACAGAGAGGUGAACAUACAUAGAUGAUAGAUGAAUAAAUAAUAGCUAUAUUGAUUAGAUAGGAAGAUAGAUGGAUAGAGGAUAGAUAAGAACAGAUGAUAGGCCGGGCGUUCUGGCUCAUGCCUGUAUUCCCAACACUUUGGGAGGCCGAGGCAGGUGGAUCACAAGGUCAGGAGUUUGAGACCAGCCUGACCAACAUGGGGAAACCCCGUCUCUACUAAAAAUACAAAAAUUAGCUGGGCAUGAUGGCACGCCUGUAAUCCCAGCUACCCAGGAGGCUGAGUCAGGAAAAUCACUUGAACCCGGGAGGUAGAGGUUGCAGUGAGCCGAGAUCGCGCCAUUGCUCUCCAGCCUGGGCAACAGAGUGAGACUCCAACUCAAAAUAUAUAUAUAUUCCAUAGAUAGAUAACAGACAGAAGAUAGAUGAUAGGUUGAUGAUAAAUGAAUGAUAGGCAGAGAUAGAUGACUGAUAGAUGAUAGAUAGGUGAUAUAAAGAUCCACACAGAACACUUUUGCAAAUUUAUGAAUAAGGACUGUUUUCUUAAAAGUUCAUAAGGGAUCUAAGAUAUUUUCUCUUUAAAAUAAUAAGUUUCGCAGCACGAAGUUAACAUUAAAACUUAAAAAUGAAUGUCCUUGUGAGGAUGCACGCGGACACAGAGGUGAAACGCAGACAGCCUCCAGGCAGACGGGCUUUCGGAAAGCCCUCCCCUCCUCAGCUGCUGGCACCCCCAGCCUCAAGUACAGAGUCCCCAAGAAUUUGAAACAGGAAGACCCAGUGAGCUGUCCCUCAGCAGCGCAGGGAACACACAUGCGAUGUGACGGUGGAGCCUGGAGGGGCACUGCUGGGCUGUGGAAGUGGUGGGGGGUGAAGCCAGCCCAGAAAGCAGGUCCUGGCUGUGGAGGACCACGGGCGGCUGGAGCAGGCAGGCUUGGGCUUUGCCUGGGGCUGAGGUGGUCACAGUGGCCCGUUGAUGACAUUGUCCUCCAUCUAGACAUAGAGAACGUUUUUGGUGCUAUAUUCUGUGGAAAUCUACAGGCAAGAAUCCUAACUUUGGGUUUAGUAAAGGAUUAAGUGAUGUCACGUGUCCCCUCCCUUGUACUGAGUCAUAUGAAAAAUCACGCCUGUAGCAAAGGCGGACGUUCCCACACAUGCGAGAUGCUUCCAAGGCCUGGCUGUUCAUUUCCGGACUCACUGCUUCUUACAGUUACACUUGGCUGUGAAGCGAGGGGAGUGCGAAGGUCUCAGCGUUCCUGGGCCAUAAACGGUGGAACCUCCGGGGUAGAAACCACUGGCUUCAGCUCCAGGAAGCCUCAGACAUGGGGACAGCGCCCUCACCUGGCUCUCUGAGGCUCUGCACGUCCACCGCCGUCUCCCCUUUGAUUUUGCAGAUUGUGGGUAGCUCAGGACCUAGCAAAAGGGUGAAAAAUAUGUAGUCUACAACACUGCUUCUUAAAUAGUAAUGCCCACGAAAAUCCUCUGCGGGCCUUGCCAAAUGCGUGCUCGGAUUCAGCAAGUUUGGGUGGGGCUUGAGAAUCUGUAUUUCCAACUCACCUGCUCCUAGGUGAUGCUGCUGCUGCUGCUGCAUGCUCUGCCUUGGGUAGCAAGAGUCUAGGGGUGAGGUGUGGAGGGAGGGAGACAGAGUGAGAAAGAGUGAGGGGGAGACAGGAAGACAGAGGGAUCGCCAUGGAGAAUUAGCAUGCUGCAGUUUACGUGUAUGAAUUGAUUAACUCUUGGGAGGCUUAAAGUUCUUUUCUCUCAGAGAGAAAUAAUUUUUAAAAAUCUGAUCAUGCAUUGUGAGUCAAUACAAUAUAUCCUAUUUAAAAAUGUUUAACGUAUAAUUAUUAUUGUCCCCAAAGAAUGAAACGUUCCCUGUUCUGUGCCUCAACAUAGAGACAAAAGAUUAACUUGAACUCUACUUAAUGAUUCUACAGCUUAAUGGGAAUGACUUAAUUGUGGAAUUUAACAUCUUUCCUUAGGAAAAGAGGAUUCAAAGAAGAAGUGUACCUAGGGGUGGGGAUAAGGAGCAAACAUGGAGAUUGUGAUUUUCUAAGACUUUGCUAUGGCCACUCUCCUGCACGCUCGCCCUUGAUCAGAGCCACACAUAGGGUGUAAUUGUACACAUUCUGCAUGCUGCUUAUAAGUAUUUUACAAAUCUCAUGGUGAAUAUAAAUUUCUGAGAAUUAGGCUGAAUAAAAAAGUUCAAGUAGA